rnacentral:rRNA from 1 species
AGAGUUUGAUCCUGGCUCAGAUUGAACGCUGGCGGCAGGCCUAACACAUGCAAGUCGAGCGGUAACAGAAAGUAGCUUGCUACUUUGCUGACGAGCGGCGGACGGGUGAGUAAUGCUUGGGAACAUGCCUUGAGGUGGGGGACAACAGUUGGAAACGACUGCUAAUACCGCAUAAUGUCUACGGACCAAAGGGGGCUUCGGCUCUCGCCUUUAGAUUGGCCCAAGUGGGAUUAGCUAGUUGGUGAGGUAAUGGCUCACCAAGGCAACGAUCCCUAGCUGGUUUGAGAGGAUGAUCAGCCACACUGGAACUGAGACACGGUCCAGACUCCUACGGGAGGCAGCAGUGGGGAAUAUUGCACAAUGGGCGAAAGCCUGAUGCAGCCAUGCCGCGUGUGUGAAGAAGGCCUUCGGGUUGUAAAGCACUUUCAGUCAGGAGGAAAGGGUGUGAGUUAAUACCUCAUAUCUGUGACGUUACUGACAGAAGAAGCACCGGCUAACUCCGUGCCAGCAGCCGCGGUAAUACGGAGGGUGCGAGCGUUAAUCGGAAUUACUGGGCGUAAAGCGUACGCAGGCGGUUUGUUAAGCGAGAUGUGAAAGCCCCGGGCUCAACCUGGGAACUGCAUUUCGAACUGGCAAACUAGAGUGUGAUAGAGGGUGGUAGAAUUUCA